ACGCACGCUGGCGGCGUGCCUAAUACAUGCAAGUCGAGCGGACUGAAUGGGAGCUUGCUCUUGUUCGGUCAGCGGCGGACGGGUGAGUAACACGUGGGCAACCUGCCCGCAAGACCGGGAUAACUCCGGGAAACCGGAGCUAAUACCGGAUAACACCGAAGACCGCAUGGUCUUUGGUUGAAAGGCGGCGCAAGCUGCCACUUGCGGAUGGGCCCGCGGCGCAUUAGCUAGUUGGUGAGGUAACGGCUCACCAAGGCGACGAUGCGUAGCCGGCCUGAGAGGGUGACCGGCCACACUGGGACUGAGACACGGCCCAGACUCCUACGGGAGGCAGCAGUAGGGAAUCUUCCGCAAUGGGCGAAAGCCUGACGGAGCGACGCCGCGUGAGCGAAGAAGGCCUUCGGGUCGUAAAGCUCUGUUGUGAGGGACGAAGGAGCGCCGUUUGAAGAAGGCGGCGCGGUGACGGUACCUCACGAGGAAGCCCCGGCUAACUACGUG
rnacentral:rRNA from 1 species